GUAAGGCCCUUCGGGGUACACGAGCGGCGGACGGCUGAGUAACACGUAGGAACGUACCCCAAAGUGAGGGAUAAGCACCAGAAAUGGUGUCUAAUACCGCAUGUGCUCUAAGGAGUAAAGCUCCGGCGCUUUGGGAACGGCCUGCGCAUGAUUAGCUAGAUGGUGAGGUAAUGGCUCACCAUGGCGACGAUCAUUAGCUGGUCUGAGAGGAUGAUCAGCCAGACUGGGACUGAGACACGGCCCAGACUCCUACGGGAGGCAGCCGUAGGGAAUUUUCCACAAUGGGCGAAAGCCUGAUGGAGCAACGCCGCGUGCAGGAUGAAUGCCUUCGGGUUGUAAACUGCUUUUAUAUGUGACGAAUAUGACGGUAGCAUAUGAAUAAGGAUCGGCUAACUCCGUGCCAGCAGCCGCGGUCAUACGGAGGAUCCAAGCGUUAUCCGGAAUUACUGGGCGUAAAGAGUUGCGUAGGCGGCAUAGUAAGCAGAUAGUGAAAGCGUGUGGCUCAACCAUACUCACAUUAUCUGAACUGCUAAGCUAGAGGACGAGAGAGGUCACUGGAAUUCCUAGUGUAGGAGUGAAAUCCGUACAUAUUAGGAGGAACACCAAUGGCGUA
rnacentral:rRNA from 1 species